rnacentral:tRNA from 1 species
ACAAGAUGUAGCUAAGGAUUAAGUAUUUCAUUUACACUGAAAUGAUUGCGUUUUACGUGCUUCUUG